UACGUAGGUGGCAAGCGUUGUCCGGAUUUACUGGGCGUAAAGGGCUCGUAGGCGGUUUGUCGCGUCGGGAGUGAAAACGCCGUGCUUAACACGGCGCUUGCUUUCGAUACGGGCAGACUAGAGGUAUGCAGGGGAGAACGGAAUUUCCGGUGUAGCGGUGAAAUGCGCAGAUAUCAGGAGGAACACCGGUGGCGAAGGCGGUUCUCUGGGCAUGUCCUGACGCUGAGGAGCGAAAGUGUGGGGAGCAAACAGG
rnacentral:rRNA from 1 species